rnacentral:rRNA from 1 species
GAUGAACGCUAGCUACAGGCUUAACACAUGCAGGUCGAGGGGAAACGAUAUUGGAAGCUUGCUUCCGAUAGGCGUCGACCGGCGCACGGGUGAGUAACGCGUAUCCAACCUGCCCAUCACUUGGGGAUAACCUUGCGAAAGUAAGACUAAUACCCAAUGAUAUCUCUAGAAGACAUCUGAAGGAGAUUAAAGAUUUAUCGGUGAUGGAUGGGGAUGCGUCUGAUUAGCUUGUUGGCGGGGUAAUGGCCCACCAAGGCUACGAUCAGUAGGGGUUCUGAGAGGAAGGUCCCCCACAUUGGAACUGAGACACGGUCCAAACUCCUACGGGAGGCAGCAGUGAGGAAUAUUGGUCAAUGGACGAGAGUCUGAACCAGCCAAGUAGCGUGCAGGAUGACGGCCCUAUGGGUUGUAAACUGCUUUUAUAAGGGAAUAAAGUGAGUCUCGUGAGACUUUUUGCAUGUACCUUAUGAAUAAGGACCGGCUAAUUCCGUGCCAGCCGCCGCAGUAA